GGAGAGGUGCGUGAGCGGUUGAAACGAGCCGCCUCGAAAGCGGCCAUACCUGAAAGGGUAUCGGGGGUUCGAAUCCCUCCCUCUCCGCCA
rnacentral:tRNA from 1 species